AUCAAAUUAAGAUCCUACAUAUGUAUGAAAGUUAUGUACUAUAGUGGUAUAAAUAAGGCAAAGAUGCAUUUAAUUCAUGCUUAGAGACUUAGGCUUGAGAAAGUCUUAGACUACAAGUGUUUCUAAAUGCAUGUGAUUUGGGACAGUAAGAAUUCAUCUCUUUCUCUCUGUCCAUAUUCUGUAUUGUGUUGCCCCUUUAAUUCUUAUUUUCUUUUGAAGCCGUCUCUGUACAAUUACUCUAAAAGAGAAGUUGUGCCAUCAGCGUGCGGCACUGUGAGUUCCCCUCUGUUUACCAAGAGCAACCCAGAAGAGCUCAGUCCUUUGUUGAGCGCCAGUCACUCCCAGCCACACAGCUGUGACACACACGCAAGCAGAAGCUCUUGCUGGGAGACAGUGAGUGUCGUUCCAGGCAGGGAGGCCGCAGAUAAAGAGCUGAUAGUGCCUCCUGGCAGAAGCCGGUCCGGUUCAGUGGGUGCAACGUUUUUAUGGAGACAGUUGGCUGGGCGCCAGGUCAGAGACGUCUGGCUGGCUUGUUAGUGUGAGUGUGUGCCUCACCUUGAUAACAGAAGUGUGG
rnacentral:lncRNA from 1 species